UACAGAGGGUGCGAGCGUUAAUCGGAAUUACUGGGCGUAAAGCGUGCGUAGACGGUUAUUUAAGUCGGGUGUGAAAGCCCCGGGCUCAACCUGGGAAUUGCAUUCGAGACUGAAUAGCAUGGAUGGUACGGUAGAGGGAAGUGGAAUUUCCGGUGUAGCGGUGAAAUGCGUAGAUAUCGGAAGGAACAUCAGUGGCGAAAGCGACUUCCUGGACCAGUACCGACGUUCAGGCACGAAAGCGUGGGGAGCAAAACAGGGA
rnacentral:rRNA from 1 species